rnacentral:rRNA from 1 species
GAUGAACGCUAGCGGCAGGCCUAACACAUGCAAGUCGAGGGGCAGCACAGAAUCAGCAAUGUUUUGGUGGCGACCGGCGGACGGGUUCGUAACGCGUAUGCAACCUACCUUUAACAGGGGGAUAACGGAGAGAAAUUUCCACUAAUACCCCAUAACAUCGAUCAAGGCAUCUUGAUUGGUUGAAAACUCCGGUGGUUAAAGAUGGGCAUGCGUUGUAUUAGGUAGUUGGUGAGGUAAUGGCUCACCAAGCCUACGAUACAUAGGGGGACUGAGAGGUUAGCCCCCCACCCUGGUACUGAGACACGGACCAGACUCCUACGGGAGGCAGCAGUGAGGAAUAUUGGUCAAUGGGGGCAACCCUGAACCAGCCAUGUCGCGUGCAGGAAGACGGCUCUAUGAGUUGUAAACUGCUUUUAAACAGGGAUAAAGCACAGUAUGUAUACUGUGUUGAAGGUACUGUAAGAAUAAGGAUCGGCUAACUCCGUGCCAGCCGCCGCAGUAA